CAGUCGCCGCGGUAAUACGAAGGGGGCUAGCGUUGCUCGGAAUGACUGGGCGUAAAGGGCGCGUAGGCGGCGAUCAAAGUCAGGCGUGAAAUUCCUGGGCUCAACCUGGGGGCUGCGCUUGAUACUUGGUUGCUUGAGUGGGGAAGAGGGUCGUGGAAUUCCCAGUGUAGAGGUGAAAUUCGUAGAUAUUGGGAAGAACACCGGUGGCGAAGGCGGCGACCUGGUCCUUUACUGACGCUGAGGCACGAAAGCGUGGGGAGCAAACAGGAUUAGAUACCCGAGUAGUCCCUGUCUCUUAUAC
rnacentral:rRNA from 1 species